CACCCAUCUUCUUAGAGGGACUGGCGGCGCUCAGCCGCAGGAAGUUGGGCAGAAAACAGGUCUGUGAUGCCCUUAGAUGUUCUGGGCAGCACGCGUGCUACACUGAAGGAAGCAACGUGUGUUCUCCUCGGCCGAGAGGCCCGGGUAACCCGUUCAACGUCCUUCGUGAUAGGGAUUGGGGCUUGCAACUGUUCCCCACGAACGAGGAAUUCCUAGUAAGCGGGAGUCAUCAGCUCCCGCUGAUUAUGUCCCUGCCCUUUGUCCACACCGCCCGUCGCUACUACCGAUUGAAUGAUUUAGUGAGGUCUUCGGACGGGCGCUCG
rnacentral:rRNA from 1 species